GUUGGUGAACCAGCGGAGGGAUCAUUACCGAAGUUACCUUCAAAACCCACUGUGAACCUUACCUCUUGCCGCGUUGUCUCGGCGGGAGGCGGUGUGCGUCGCGCGCCCUAGCGGGCCGCGCCGCUCCCGUCCCCGCCGGCAGCGCCAAACUCUAAAUGCACAGCGGACUGUACGUUCUGAUUUACAAAAAAAACAAGUUAAAACUUUCAACAACGGAUCUCUUGGUUCUG
rnacentral:misc_RNA from 1 species